GACGAACGCUGGCGGCGUGCCUAAUACAUGCAAGUUGAGCGCUGAAGGUUGGUACCUGUACCAACUGGAUGAGCAGCGAACGGGUGAGUAACGCGUGGGGAAUCUGCCUUUGAGCGGGGGACAACAUUUGGAAACGAAUGCUAAUACCGCAUAAAAACUUUAAACACAAGUUUUAAGUUUGAAAGAUGCAAUUGCAUCACUCAAAGAUGAUCCCGCGUUGUAUUAGCUAGUUGGUGAGGUAAAGGCUCACCAAGGCGAUGAUACAUAGCCGACCUGAGAGGGUGAUCGGCCACAUUGGGACUGAGACACGGCCCAAACUCCUACGAGAGGCAGCAGUAGGGAAUCUUCGGCAAUGGACGAAAGUCUGAACGAGCAACGCCGCGUGAGUGAAGAAGGUUUUCGGAUCGUAAAACUCUGUUGGUAGAGAAGAACGUUGGUGAGAGUGGAAAGCUCAUCAAGUGACGGUAACUACCCAGAAAGGGACGGCUAACUACGUG
rnacentral:rRNA from 1 species